GAUAAUGCUUCAUCGUAGCAAGAUAAAUCUAGAUGAUUUGAGGUUUUCAUUUUGGUAUCAUCAUCCAGUUGAGAUUUUCCUAGAGCUAGAUGAAAAUUAAUAGAACUUGGGCCACAAUCCAGCAACUCUGCAUCCAAACUAUCAAGUGUGUGCACUUCUUCCAUUACCAAAUCAGGGGCAUCAAAUGCAUUUUCCUGAUUGAAAUCAGUCCUAAUCAUUGUAUUGCCUUUUUCAGAUUCCCCUGUAAUUGCAAGUGCAUCAACGUUAACAAUAUCAAUUGAAGAAUCACCUAACUCACAUCCUACACUGGAGGAACUUUCUAAAACCCGAAGCAUUUCCUUUAGAGUAACAUCUACAUUUUCUUUAAUAACCUCCAUCACCAAC
rnacentral:lncRNA from 1 species